ACAUCCUAGAGUUGUUGGUCGGA
rnacentral:siRNA from 1 species